rnacentral:rRNA from 1 species
UACAGAGGUCUCGAGCGUUAAUCGGAGUUACUGGGCUUAAAGGGUGCGUAGGCGGAUGCGCAAGUGCUUUGUGAAAUACCUUGGCUCAACCAAGGAAAUGCUUGGCAUACUGCGUGUCUUGAGGUCGGUAGGGGAUGUCGGAACUCUAGGUGGAGCGGUGAAAUGCGUAGAUAUCUAGAGGAACGCCGAAGGCGAAGGCAGACAUCUGGGCCGAUUCUGACGCUGAUGCACGAAAGCGUGGGGAGCGAACGGG